CUCACGCCCACGGCAACCACUGGUGGCAAUGGAUCUCCAUGGAGCUGCUCCAGGACCGGUGUCAGCCACGAGUCUUGGUGACGGGCCUGGAGUGACAGGAUGCGGGAAAAUGGGUCCCCCGUGGAGAUCCAUUGACAGAGUCCCUUGGGAGUCGGUCCUGAAGGGAAAAGGAAUCCAGGAAAGGGGGAGACCUGAUCUGCCACUCUUGCGAGCCACGGUGGUUUAGGUUCAGGCCACCUAAUUCGAGCUGUACCCAAAAACGGAUGCCUGUUGGGUAGGAAUCGUGCCCCAUGCGCCUCCACCUGAGGGACUCAGCCCAUCGAAAGGGACCUGGAGCAGUUCCUGAGGGACUCACACCCCCCCAACCCAUCUUCCCCAGGAGCUUUUCCAUCAGGUUUUCUCUUGCUGCCUCUUCCUGAAGCAACGGAGCAGCCCGGGGGAGCACUGGGGGUCAGCCAAGGUCUCCCAUCCCAACCUUCCCACGUUUAGAAUCCCAGGCUGGUUUGGGUUGGACGGACUUCAAAGGUCAUCUGGAUCCACCCCCUGCCAUCUUCCACUAUCCCAGACUGCUCCAAGCCCCAUCCAGCCUGGCCUUGGAGCCAGCUGCAGCUUCUCCGGACACGCUGUGCCAGGGUCUCACCACCAUCACAGACAGGAAUUUCUCCCAGUAAGCCCUCUGGGAGGUGAAAACCCUCAGCCUCCAUCCUCUCCCCUGACUGAGGCCCUCCCCAGCUCUCCUGGAGGUCCCUCUCUAUAUUAUAUUUUAUAUCUCUAUUUGAUUUAUACCUACAGACAGGAAUUUCUCCCAGUAACCCCUCUAAGCCCUCUGGUGUCCCUGAGCCCCCUCAGCCUCCAUCCUGUCCGCUGACUGAGGCCCUCCCCAGCUCUCCUGGCAGCCCCUCUCUAUAUUAUAUUUUAUAUCUCUAUUAGAUUUAUACUACAGACAGGGAGGAAUUUCUCCCAGUAUCCCAUCUAAGCCCUCUGGGAGGUGAAAACCCUCAGCCUCCAUCCUGUCCCCUGACUGAGGCCCUCCCCAGCUCUCCCGGAGGCGCCUCUCUAUAUUAUAUUUUAUAUCUCUAUUAAAUUUAUCCCUACAGACAGGGAGGAAUUUCUCCCAGUAUCCCAUCUAAGCCUGACCUCUGGUGUCCCUGAGCCCCCUCAGCGUCCAUCCUGUCCCCUGACUGAGGCCCUCCCCACCUCUCCUGGCAGCCCCUCUCUGUAUUAUAUUUUAUAUCUCUAUUGGAUUUAUACCUACAGACGGGGAGGAAUUUCUCCCAGUAUCCCCUCUAAGCCCUCUGGGAGGUGAAAACCCUCAGCCUCCAUCCUGACAGUUCACAGAAGCCCUCCCCAGCUCUCCCAGAGCCCCCUCUCUAUAUGAUAUUUUAUAUCUCUAUUAGAUUUACACCUACAGACAGGGAGGAAUUUCUCCCAGUAUCCCAUCUAAGCCUGACCUCUGGUGUCCCUGAGCCCCCUCAGCGUCCAUCCUGUCCGCUGACUGAGGCCCUCCCCAGCUCUCCCGGAGGUCCCUCUCUGUAUUAUAUUUUAUAUCUCUAUUGGAUUUAUACCUACAGACAGGAAUUUCUCCCAGUACCCCAUCUAAGUCCUCUGGGAGGUGAAAACCCUCAGUCUCCAUCCUGUCCCCUGACUGAGGCCCUCCUCAGCUCUCCCGGAGGCUCCUCUCUAUAUUAUAUUUUAUAUCUCUAUUAGAUUUAUACCUACAGACAGGGAGGAAUUUCUCCCAGUACCCCCUCUAAGCCCUCUGGUAUCCCUGAGCCCCCUCAGCCUCCAUCCUGUCCCCUGACUGAGGCCCUCCCCAGCUCUCCUGGAGGUCCCUCUCUAUAUUAUAUUUUAUAUCUCUAUUGGAUUUAUACCUACAGACAGGAAUUUCUCCCAGUAACCCCUCUAAGCCUGCCCUCUGGUGUCCCUGAGCCCCCUCAGCCUCCAUCCUGUCCGCUGACUGAGGCCCUCCCCAGCUCUCCUGGCAGCCCCUCUCUAUAUUAUAUUUUAUAUCUCUAUUAGAUUUAUACUACAGACAGGGAGGAAUUUCUCCCAGUACCCCAUCUAAGCCCUCUGGGAGGUGAAAACCCUCAGCCUCCAUCCUGACCGAGGCCCUCCCCAGCUCUUCCAGAGGCGCCUCUCUAUAUUAUAUUUUAUAUCUCUAUUAGAUUUAUACCUACAGACAGGAAUUUCUCCCAGUAUCCCCUCUAAGCCUGCCCUCUGGAGGCCCCUCUCUAUAUUAUAUUUUAUAUCUCUAUUAGAUUUAUACCUACAGACAGGAAUUUCUCCCAGUAUCCCCUCUAAGCCUGCCCUCUGGAGGCCCCUCUCUAUAUUAUAUUUUAUAUCUCUAUUAGAUUUAUACCUACAGAUGCAUCGGCCCCAAAAGUGGCUCAGGCAGUCCCUGACGAGUUGUGGCCACCUGGGGUAGCCCCUUUUGGGGCUGGGGGCAGUGGGCACAUCCACGGGUUAUUUCAGAGAGCCUCAGGGGGUUUGGGGGGGUCCUGAGGGCUCACGGGGUGUUCGGGGGGGCAGAGCUGUGGAGCAUUUUGAGGGGACUCUGAGGGUAUUUGGGAUCUACUGGGGUCUGUAGGGGGUCUCUGGGGUUUUGGGGGGAGCUACGGGAGUGCGUUCUCCAGGUCCCCAAAGUCCUCCCAACCUCUCCUUCAUCUGAGAGCAUUUAUCUGCACCUGUCAGGGAAGUUCACCACACGGACUCUGCUCCUGACUCCCGUGAAAUCUGGACGUGCAGGAAUGUUUUUCCUGCAAUUUCCCCGGCUCCAAGAGGGACCACGGGAGCGGCACCAAAAAUCAGGAGUGGGGCUUGUCCAUCCCCCACACCGGCAAUCGCAGUUUUGAUUCCAGUUUUAAUUAAAACCUGAACUGUUGAUGA